rnacentral:snRNA from 1 species
AUCGCUUCUCGGCCUUUUGGCUAAGAUCAAGUGUAGAAUUACUGAAGAAACACUUGGAUAAAAUAAAGACAUUUUUAGAGCAGAUAUACUAUUAUUAUUAUUAUUAUUUUGUGUUUUUUUGGUACUGGGGAUCAAACUCUGG